CCUACGGGAGGCAGCAGUGGGGGAUAUUGCACAAUGGGGGAAACCCUGAUGCAGCGACGCCGCGUGUGGGAAGACGGUCCUCUGGAUUGUAAACCACUGUCCCCAGGGACGAAGAUGCCGGUACCUGGGGAGGAAGCUCCGGCUAACUACGUGCCAGCAGCCGCGGUAAUACGUAGGGAGCGAGGGUUGUCCGGAAUUCCUGGGUGUAAGGGGAGCGUAGGCGGGACUGCAAGUUGGGUGUCAAAUCUACCGGCUCAACCGGUAGCCGCACUCAAAACUGCAGUUCUUGAGUGAAGUAGAGGCAGGCGGAAUUCCUAGUGUAGCGGUGAAAUGCGUAGAUAUUAGGAGGAACACCAGUGGCGAAGGCGGCCUGCUGGGCUUUUACUGACGCUGAGGCUCGAAAGUGUGGGGAGCAAACAGGAUUAGAUACCCUAGUAGUC
rnacentral:rRNA from 1 species